rnacentral:rRNA from 1 species
CGAACGGGUGAGUAACACGUGGGUAACCUGCCCAUCAGAAGGGGAUAACACUUGGAAACAGGUGCUAAUACCGUAUAACAAUCGAAACCGCAUGGUUUUGAUUUGAAAGGCGCUUUCGGGUGUCGCUGAUGGAUGGACCCGCGGUGCAUUAGCUAGUUGGUGAGGUAACGGCUCACCAAGGCCACGAUGCAUAGCCGACCUGAGAGGGUGAUCGGCCACAUUGGGACUGAGACACGGCCCAAACUCCUACGGGAGGCAGCAGUAGGGAAUCUUCGGCAAUGGACGAAAGUCUGACCGAGCAACGCCGCGUGAGUGAAGAAGGUUUUCGGAUCGUAAAACUCUGUUGUUAGAGAAGAACAAGGAUGAGAGUAACUGUUCAUCCCUUGACGGUAUCUAACCAGAAAGCCACGGCUAACUACGUGCCAGCAGCCGCGGUAAUACGUAGGUGGCAAGCGUUGUCCGGAUUUAUUGGGCGUAAAGCGAGCGCAGGCGGUUUCUUA